rnacentral:lncRNA from 1 species
CAAAUGUGGGGCGUAUCCAUGACCCAAAACCAUCCCAAAUGUGGGGUGAUUGUAUGGGGAUGGGAGAUCUGGACCCCCUUCCCAAUGGGUCGUCCCAAAUUUGGGGUGUUUCCAUGACCCAAAACCGCCCCAAAUGUGGGGUGAUUCUAUGGGGAUGGGAGAUUUGGACCCCCUUCCCAAUGGGUCGACCCAAAUGUGGGGUGUAUCCAUGACCCAAAACCGUCCCAAAUAUGGGGUGAUUGUAUGGGGAUGGGAGAUCUGGACCCCCUUCCCAAUGGGUCGACCCAAAUGUGGGGUGUAUCCAUGACCCAAACAGUCCCAAAUGUGGGGCGGUUGUAUGGGGGUGAGAUUUGGACCCCCUUCCCUACAGGUUAUCCCAAAUUUGGGGCGUAUCCAUGACCCAAAACCGUCCCAAAUGUGGGGUGGUUGUAUGGGGCUCUGAGAUUUGGACCCCGCUCAAUGGGUGGCCCCACAUUUGGGGUGUUUCCAUGACCCAAAACCGUCCCAAAUAUGGGGUGAUUGUAUGGGGAUGGGAGAUCUGGACCCCCUUCCCAAUGGGUCGACCCAAAUUUGGGGUGUUUCCAUGACCCAAAACCGUCCCAAAUGUGGGGUGGUUCGAUGGGGCUGUGAGAUUUGGACCCCGCUCAAUGGGUCGUCCCAAAUUUGGGGCGUAUCCAUGACCCAAAACAUCCCAAAUGUGGGGUGGUUGUAUGGGGAUGGGUUAUCUGGACCCCCUUCCCAAUGGGUCGACCCAAAUUUGGGGCGUUUCCAUGACCCAAACAGUCCCAAAUGUGGGGUGAUUGUAUGGGGAUGGGAGAUUUGGACCCCUUCCCAAUGGGUCGUCCCAAAUGUGGGGUGUAUCCAUGACCCAAACCGUCCCAAAUGUGGGGUGAUUGUAUGGGGAUGGGAGAUUUGGACCCCCUUCCCAACGGGUCGCCCCAAAAAUGGUCUCAAAUGUGUGGCGUUUCCAUGACCCAAAACCGUCCCAAAUUUGGGGUUAUUGGUGCAAAUAUGGGGUGAAAAUGGGAAGAAUUGGGGUUAUUGGGGUAAAUAUGGGGUAAAAAUGGGAAGAAUUGGGUUUAUUUGUGCAAAAAUUGGGUAAAAAACCCAAAAAUUCGGGGUGAUUUGCCCCGAAUCACUCCCAAAUUUGAGGCGGCGCCACAGCCCCGAACGACCCCCAAUUCGGAGAGAUUCUACGGGGCUAUGAGACGACCCCCUGACCCCCCCAAAAAUAGCAUCCCCCCCUUU